GCUGCUGUAGCUCAGUUGGUAGAGCACAUCCUUGGUAAGGAUGAGGUCAUGGGUUCAAGUCCCAUCAGCAGCU
rnacentral:tRNA from 1 species